rnacentral:rRNA from 1 species
AAAUUGAAGAGUUUGAUCAUGGCUCAGAUUGAACGCUGGCGGCAGGCCUAACACAUGCAAGUCGAACGGUAACAGGAAGAAGCUUGCUUCUUUGCUGACGAGUGGCGGACGGGUGAGUAAUGUCUGGGAAACUGCCUGAUGGAGGGGGAUAACUGCUGGAAACGGUAGCUAAUACCGCAUAACGUCGCAAGACCAAAGAGGGGGA